rnacentral:tRNA from 1 species
GGCCCCUUAAUACACCCAGUAUAAAUGACUUCCACUCAUUAAGCCUUGUUAUACACAAGAGGGGCUA